CUUCACCAAUGCUCUUAUUUAAUCUUUAUUUGAAUACAAACAUUUUGUCAGAUAGUGACUUUGACAGGGAAGGUCAGAAAGUACCUCUGGGUGAAGCAAGAAGCAACCAAACUUCUGGUAAAACGGGUUUUCUGUCAAAACUCUGAGGUGACACAGAUACUGGGUGAGGUGAGGAAAGGCAUUGAUUAAACAUGGUGAAACUAAUGAUGGCAGUUUGAAUUGUUUACUUUUUGGCCUCUGCCGUCAGAGUCGGAGAUCUCCUGUUGACACUGCAGCUAUUUGUAUGAAGUGAUGUCAUCACUGCGCCAUACAAGCGAGAAAGUCCCCUUACCAGCCAAGAAUGACACUGACUUAAAGGCAUGAUCUGUGGUGGGGGAAGUGGGCUGGAAUGAGUGAGGAGACGGUGAAAUGUGUUGCCACAUAUCCGUGCAUGCACACACGCAUGCCCACAAACGGAUAGGUAAGUGAUUUUGGAAUGAUGGCUGGGGUGGGCCACAUCUGGCGGUAUUCUAGCAUCAAGCAGGUCAAAGGGACUGCUUAGUUUAACUCAGGGGAGUGCUGAGCUGUUCACUAAAAGGCGUUGAAAUGCAGCUGACUGCACCCUUGGUUUGACACUGCUGUGAGUGUGGCAAAUGGCAAUAUUUGAAUUUAAAGAUAAAAUAAUGGCGAGAUGUAAAGGAAAAGCCGUCUGCUUGGCUUAUCAGUCACAUCAGUCUGAUGGCACUGAGUGAUUUGCGGAGAUUGCAUUGGGUUUCAGCAGACUGUCUUAUGGCCUCCUGGUUCUUUCUGCUCAGGUGCAAAGUUACAAAGGCAAACAAUGCCCUCUAGUGGGGCUACAGCAUAUUAACAUAUGGACAAGAGGCGUUUGAGAGUUCAGGCACUCAUAAAAUGAAAAUCAUCAAAGAAAAAGAACAAAACAAACAAACAAAAAAAGAAGAAAUAAAGCAUUUUUGUGAAAAUCUACAGAUGCUUCAUCCAUAAGUUAAUAUAACAUCAAAUAGUAUCUGUGUCGACUACAAAACUGAAAUCUUGCAAAGGAACAAGUGUUGACAAGCUGCUAAGUGAUCUAGCUGGAUCAAAUCUCAAUAGGUAUCCCUGAUAGCGGGAACUGUAAUACUGAUCGCUGCAUACUACAGCAUUUGAUGCCUUUGGGUAUAAUACCACAUUUGGUAAUAUUACAAGGUUGCUUUCCUUUUCAGAAACGGCUGAUCAAAACCAGCAUCAUCCACAAGAAAAUCAGAAUUAGGAUCAUUCAUUCAUGAAUGGCAGGGACGAAACAUGCAUGGCAUUCGGUGGUGAACGUGAUUCAAACUCUGAUUUGCUAUGAGAGACUUGGUAGAUUAGGUGAAUAUUGAAUGAGGAUCUGUACGUUACACAUUCAUGUACCAGCGUCAUCAAGACGUCUAAAGUGUUCACAGACCAUCUCAGCUACUAUGUAUCAGUAGGUGUACCCUCAUAUAUUCAGUUUAAGUUUACAUUGUUUAAGAGGAGGGGGAGGAGACUCUCCCCUGGGUUGUUAGGCUGCUCCAUCAUCUGUCUCAACAGCCCGGCCGGACUCUCGUCAGUGAGUAAACUGGAUGAAGUCUUAAUGUCAGCAGACUGUCUUUCUUCCCUUGGAGGAAGUGAGCUGAGUAGGGAAUCACAGGCAAUCACUUGUGAGGGAUAAAACCUCAGAACUGGUGCGUACCGUAUUUAGAUUGGGCGGAAAGGUGGAGGAGAGAAGGGUAUACUAUAUUCCUGGCUGUCGGUCAAAAAAAUAAAAAAACUGAUGAAGUCUGAGCCCCCGUCGGCCAGGUAACCCAAAACCUGGAGUGGGGAGUCAGCGUGGGAUAUGGGGAGAGGAACAAUGCAGCUCUUUGUGCAAGCCGGGCAGAGAAAACAAACCGUUUCCCCUGGAAAGAGA
ensembl:lncRNA